rnacentral:rRNA from 1 species
CCGGCACGGGUGAGUAACACGUAUGCAAUCCACCUGUAACAGGGGAUAACCCGGAGAAAUCCGGACUAAUACCCCAUAAUAUGGGCGCUCCGCAUGGAGAGCCCAUUAAAGAGAGCAAUUUUGGUUACAGACGAGCAUGCGCUCCAUUAGCCAGUUGGCGGGGUAACGGCCCACCAAAGCGACGAUGGAUAGGGGUUCUGAGAGGAAGGUCCCCCACAUUGGAACUGAGACACGGCCCAA